rnacentral:rRNA from 1 species
GACGAACGCUGGCGGCGUGCUUAACACAUGCAAGUCGAACGAUGAAGCCUAGCUUGCUAGGUGGAUUAGUGGCGAACGGGUGAGUAAUACGUGAGUAACCUACCUUUAACUCUGGGAUAAGCCCGGGAAACUGGGUCUAAUACCGGAUACGACCAAUCUCCGCAUGGGGUGUUGGUGGAAAGCGUUAUGUAGUGGUUAUAGAUGGGCUCACGGCCUAUCAGCUUGUUGGUGAGGUAACGGCUCACCAAGGCGACGACGGGUAGCCGGCCUGAGAGGGUGACCGGCCACACUGGGACUGAGACACGGCCCAGACUCCUACGGGAGGCAGCAGUGGGGAAUAUUGCACAAUGGGCGCAAGCCUGAUGCAGCGACGCCGCGUGAGGGAUGACGGCCUUCGGGUUGUAAACCUCUGUUAGCAGGGAAGAAGAGAGAUUGACGGUACCUGCGGAGAAAGCGCCGGCUAACUACGUG